rnacentral:rRNA from 1 species
UACGUAGGGGGCAAGCGUUGUUCGGAUUCAUUGGGCGUAAAGGGUGCGUAGGCGGCGCGGUAAGUCGGGUGUGAAAACUCGAGGCUCAACCUCGAGACGUCGGCGGAAACCAUCUGGCUAGAGUCCGGAAGAGGAGAGUGGAAUUCCUGGUGUAGCGGUGAAAUGCGCAGAUAUCAGGAAGAACACCCGUGGCGAAGGCGGCUCUCUGGGACGGUACUGACGCUGAGACGCGAAAGCGUGGGGAGCGAACAGG